GAAGAAAGAGGGAGGCGUGCUUAACACAUGCAAGUCGAACGGAAAGGCCCUGCUUUUGUGGGGUGCUCGAGUGGCGAACGGGUGAGUAACACGUGAGUAACCUGCCCUUGACUUUGGGAUAACUUCAGGAAACUGGGGCUAAUACCGGAUAGGAGCUCCUGCUGCAUGGUGGGGGUUGGAAAGUUUCGGCGGUUGGGGAUGGACUCGCGGCUUAUCAGCUUGUUGGUGGGGUAGUGGCUUACCAAGGCUUUGACGGGUAGCCGGCCUGAGAGGGUGACCGGCCACAUUGGGACUGAGAUACGGCCCAGACUCCUACGGGAGGCAGAAGUGGGGAAUAUUGAAAAAUGGGCGGAAGCCUGAUGCAGCAACGACGCGUGCGGGAUGACGGCCUUCGGGUUGUAAACCGCUUUCGCCUGUGACGAAGCGUGAGUGACGGUAAUGGGUAAAGAAGCACCGGCUAACUACGUG
rnacentral:rRNA from 1 species